rnacentral:rRNA from 1 species
GACGAACGCUGGCGGCGUGCUUAAUACAUGCAAGUCGAACGGAAAGGCCCUGCUCUUGUGGGGUGCUCGAGUGGCGAACGGGUGAGUAACACGCGAGUAACCUGCCCUUGACUUUGGGAUAACUCCAGGAAACUGGGGCUCAUACCGGAUAGGAGCUCCUGCUGCAUGGUGGGGGUUGGAAAGUUUCGGCGGUUGGGGAUGGAAUCGCGGGUUAUCAGCUUGUUGGGGGGGUAGUUACUUACCAAGGCUUUGACGGGUAGCCUGCCUGAGAGGGCGGCCAGCCACAUUGGGACUGAGGUACGGACCAGUCUGCUACGGGCGGCAGCAGUGGGAAGUAUUGCACAGUGGGGGGAAGCCUGAUGCAGCGGCGCCGGGUGCGGGAUGACGGGCUUCGGGUUGUGAACCGCUGUCGCCUGUGACGAAGCGUGAGUGACGGUAAUGGGUAAAAAAGCAACGGCUAACUACGUG